rnacentral:lncRNA from 1 species
AGAUUCAUAGCAAACCAUUUUAAUUGGAAUUUCUUUAUACAGUGGAUUGUGCUCAUCUGAGAAGCCAUAGGUUGUCAAUAAAAAGCCUAACACCAGGUUUGGGACACCUCCCCUCAAGCUGAUGGUCAGGGUUUUCCUGGAGACACCUGGCACAAUACAGACAACUGUCCCUGCACUUGUUUGCAUAUCAGGACAGGGCAGUAAAACUCUGCUGAAGACACUAUACAUUCUGGUCACAGACUAUGAAGAAACCAAGUUGGCCCACAAAACUUGGUUGGUACUCUCAGUGUACUAGGACAUGCUGUGUGGGCUGAAAUCAUCAGCUGUGAACCCUGUGAACUCGAAUAACAACCAGCAUGGCAGAAGAUGACCAGGGGUACAGUGUUGGCAUGAAUGCUAUGAGAGUAAGCAAACACUUCUUGGACUUUUAAGGCCUACUCCACAGGAGAUGGAACCAAUCCAGUUACUGCAGAUCUGGCCAAAAACUAUGAUUUUGCUAAACAGAUAUACUAUCAAGCUGCCCUAUAAAUUCCUCUCUACUCACAGGUGAGUGCAGCUCGAAGGCCUCACCAGCAAAGUUUCUUUGUGCAGUGGAUGGUAGUUAACACAGAAACAACUGGUCCAAGUUGCACAGCCUGUGGAGAGCUCCACCACAAAUGGCCACAAAUCCACAUCACCACUCCAUCAUCCCAAGGCUCAGGGACCAUCCUGGAGGAGCUGGUACAAAGAUUAUUAAGACCCAGUGGUCAGAGAGGACCAAAGCGCAAGUGCUUUCUGCAAUGACAGGAUCCCUACAAUCAUGAACUCUCAGCAGCUGUGUUGCCUGAGUGGGACCUGCCAGAUCAAGACAAUCGAGCUUCUAAAUAGACUGGGAAGUAGCUCGUGAGCCCCACCCAACUGAAUGGUUCAAAAUCCGAUAAAUGACAGCACAAAUUAGAAUGGAUUAUUAAAGUUUAUUGCUGGGGGUAGGGAGGUAGAAGCAGAUCAGGGAAGUAGUUAAGGGGGAAAGUUAGUGCAUAUGAUUAAAACAUAUGCAAUCCUCAAAGAUACUUACUUUUCAAACUGAAGUAACGAGGAGAUGGGAAUUUUGAGCUGGGAGUCAACCUGCACUAAGUAAUGAGAUCCUGUCUCAAAACAGUGUGUGGUGGGGCAUGCAUGUGAUCCCUGUCUCUGGCAGAUGGAGGUAGGAUGGUCAGGGCUUCAAGGUCACCCUUUGCUACAUAGCAAGAUGGACAGCUUGAACUGUGUGAGACUGCCUCAGAAAUAAAUAAAUGAAUGAAUGAACAAAUGGAUAAAUGGAUGAAUGAAAUAAAACCAAGUGAGUCAACAAGAGGGAUGAGUCUGCAGGACUCUUGCCUACACAGGCACCAAUGGGCAUGGGCUCUAUUGGCAAUACUGCUGCUCCAUGCAUCUUCCCACUAGCUCUAUUAAAAUACUUCCAAGUUAUUAAUACCCAUUGUAAUAGCAGUUAGCAAGAAAACGAAUAAAAUAUACUUCAAAGCCCUGAUGGCAUCAAUCGACCUGGCCUCAUCUACCAAGUUGUGGCAUCAACAGCACUACACGCACCACACCCCAGCCCACCCCCAAGAACACCAGUGUGCUAAAGGGUGCUUCCUAAAACCUCCAUAGAAAGGUCUUAGUGGUUUGGUUGAGGUGACUUAGAGGUGGUUAGAAAUUUAUGCCUCAGGCUGGGAUGUGGCUCAAAUAAGUCUGGGUUCUACUCCCACCACCACUAGAAAGCUAUGGUUCUUAACUGCACAGGAAAGACUGGAAGAAAGGUCCUGAGACAUAGGUGAGAUAUAGUGUCACACUAAAGACAUUCAUCUUAGCCUCAGAAAAAGGACCAUUUUAGAGGUCACAGAGAUGGCUGAGGAGAGCAUUUUGGGAGUUGGGAUAAUACUAAAAACUAGUCAUAUUGAAGAAAAAAAUCCUAGAAAUAAAGGAAAAAUAAAGUAUGUGAAGGCAUGUUCAUGUGUGUGAGGGUGUGCGUCAGCACACAUGGAGGCCAUCUGAUGUUGCCUGCCUUCUUUCUAUGAGGAUCCAGGUCUUCCUGCUUGCAUGGCAAAUACUUUACCACUGAAUCAUCUGCCCAGUCCUGACGCUGAGACUCUUAAAGGUCAUAUGUAAACAAGAAAAUUGUUUGGCUAUUGCUGUGUGGUAGGAAAAAAACAACUUAAAAUCAUCACACUACCAACCAAACUCAGCAACAUCACAAUUACACAAAGGAGUUGGUAGGAGCUGAGUCACCAGUCCACUGGAGUGUGAAGCCCUGGUACAUGCUGAGGGCACACGGGCCUUAAAUUCAUGCCCUACACCAGAAUAUGGAAACUGCAGAAUUAAGAUCUGCUGCUUUGGGGGGACUGGAUGGGGUGGGGUGCAGAGGGGAAACUAGGAAGGGGGCAUUUGAAAUGUAAAUAAAAUAACCAAUUAAAAAAAAUCUGCGUUACUU